AACGAACGCUGGCGGCGUGCCUAACACAUGCAAGUCGAACGAGAAAGGGGCUUCGGCUCCGAGUAAAGUGGCGCACGGGUGAGUAACACGUGGGUAACCUGCCUCUAAGAUUGGGAUAACUCGUCGAAAGAUGAGCUAAUACCGAAUAAGACCACAGUUCCCGCGGGAACAGGGGUCAAAGGUAGCCUCUGCUUGCAAGCUAUCACUUAGAGAUGGGCCUGCGCACCAUUAGCUAGUUGGUAGGGUAACGGCCUACCAAGGCAAAGAUGGUUAGCUGGUCUGGGAGGAUGAUCAGCCACACUGGAAAUGAGACACGGUCCAGACUCCUACGGGAGGCAGCAGUGGGGAAUAUUGCGCAAGGGGCGAAAGCUUGACGCAGCAACGCCGCGGGAGUGAUGAAGGCCUUCGGGUCGUAAAGCUCUGUCGGGAGGAACGAAUGCUCCUGAGGUUAACAGCCUCGGGAGGUGACGGUACCUUAAAAGGAAGCACCGGCUAACUCUGUG
rnacentral:rRNA from 1 species